CCAGGUUUGGGGGACUGGGAGAGGAGUAGGGGUGCCAGGUUUGGGGGUUGGGAGAGGAGUGGGGGAGAGCCAGGUUUGGGGGCUGAGAAAGGAGUAGAGAUGCCAGGUUUGGGGGACUGGGAGAGGAGGGAGG